CCUCGUAUGGCGAGGCAAUACGAAGGAAGAGCGUGGCUCGUAUAUCAUCCCAUGUAAAAAGUGGGACCCGAACGACGUCGUAGUUCGCUUCGCCUCCUGCCCUACUCUAUAUGCCGUUUGGAUCCACUUACUUCCUCCCCGUGAGCGCAUAGCAACAAGAUUGAGCAUCAGCAGCCAGCAGCACCACCCACCCUCCCUCCUGCGUCUCCCUUGCUUGCGUCCCAUUUUCCCUCCAACACCAACUGCCAAGCUGUCAGUCGACAACAAAACAUAGAAAUAAACAAACCUUGGAAAAGGAAAGAGGGCCAGAUUUUUGGGAAACUUUGAGCAAGUUGGAAAAGAGGAGGUAAAAAAGAGAAAUGGCGAAAGCAAAGGCCGCAGGAGCAAGCCCUGCGAAGGCGAAACCCGCCAAGGUGAAGAAGCCCAAGGGGAAGGCGAAGGCGAAAAAGCCCAAGGCCAAGGUCGCCAAGAAGGCGAAAUCCCCCAAAGCACCGAAACCAAAGACCACCAAGAAAGCAGCGUCUUAAAAUGGAGGGAAUGCAGCCCAGAUAAAAAUUUUAUGCACACUCUUAAGUAAUUAAUUCCAUAAGUACAAAUUUCAGAAUACCAGUUGAUUGUUGAGUUUUCCAAAAUUAGAUUUUUGAAAUUACAUAGUAUGUAGAAAAAAUUUUAUUCAUGUUCGAGUGUCGCUGGAAUGUUGAUUAGAUAUCUUUCGAGUAAUAAUUAGCAUGUAAGAAGUGUUAACCUAAUUGUAAGGAUUUUUAAGAUUGUGUUGAAAAUUUGAAAUCAAAAUUGAAAGCUUUAUUAUGACUUAGAUUGUAUUUAAGAGAAACUUUGGAUUUUUUAUUUGUGCAAAAUUUGCGUAGAAUUUGAUCAUUAUUUGCUGAAUUUGCAAUGUAUUUGGAGAGAAUUGGAAUGUUAAAGAUUAUUCAUUAAUUGGAAAGUUUUUAAAGUAUGGAAAAAUUCAAAUUGUGAAUCAAUUAUGUUUCAAUUCGGAAGAAAUUGGCGUGUUUAAAUUUAUAAAUAAAUUCCUUGUUUAGAAAAUCACAA